AGAAUCAACGCUGGCGGCGUGCCUAACACAUGCAAGUCGCACGAGAAAGGGUAGCAAUACCUGAGUACAGUGGUGCACGGGUGAGUAACACGUGAAUAAUCUACCUCCGAGUGGGGAAUAAACUGAGAGAAAUCUUAGCUAAUACCGCAUAACACUUACGAGUCAAAGCAGCAAUGCGCUUGGAGAGGAGUUCGCGGCAGAUUAGUUAGUUGGCGGGGUAAUGGCCCACCAAGACGAUGAUCUGUA
rnacentral:rRNA from 1 species